rnacentral:rRNA from 1 species
GGGUAACCUGCCCUAUGCUGGAUAAUAACCUCGGGAAACUGAGAAUAAUGAUCCAUAGUUCACUACGCCUGGAACGGUGAGUGGAUGAAAGCUCCGGCGGCAUAGGAUGGGCCUGCGGCGUAUCAGGUUGUAGGGGGUGUAACGUACCCUCUAGCCCUCUACGCGUACGGGUGUUGGGAGACAUAGCCCGGAGAUGGAUUCUGAGACACGAAUCCAGACCCUACGGGGUGCAGCAGGCGCGAAAACUUGGCAAUGCGAGAAAUCGUGACCAGGGAACUCCAAGUGCAUCGGGUAAGACCGGUGCUUUUCCUGACUCUAAAUAGGUCUUGGAAUAAGGGGUGGGUAAGGACGGUGCCAGCCGCCGCGGUAAUACCGGCGCCUCAAGUGGUAGUCGCUUUUAUUGGGCCUAAAACGUCCGUAGCCGGUCUGAUACAUUCGUGGGUAAAUCAACCAGCUCAACUGGUUGAAUUCUGCGAGGACGGUCAGACUUGGGACCGGGAGAGGUGUGGGGUACGCUCAGGGUAGGGGUAAAAUCCUGUCAUCCUGAGCGGACCACCUGUUGCGAAGGCGCCACACUAGAACGGAUCCGACGGUCAGGGACGAAGCCUAGGGGCACGAACCGGAUUAGAUACCCGGGUAGUCCUAGGUGUAAACGCUGUGGACUUGAUGUUGGGGGUGCUCCGAGCACUCUCAGUGUCGAAGCGAAGGUGAUAAGUCCACUGCCUGGGAAGUACGGUCGCAAGGCUGAAACUU